AAAGACUUAGUCCUAACCUUACCGUUAAUUCUUGCUAAAUAUAUACAUGCAAGUAUCUGCGCUCCAGUGUAAAUGCCCUCGAUCUCUUAUCCAGGAAAGAGGAGCAGGUAUCAGGCACACCAGAAUCGUAGCCCAAGACGCCUUGCUCAGCCACACCCCCACGGGUAUUCAGCAGUAAUUAACAUUAAGCAAUGAGUGAAAACUUGACUUAGUUAUAGCAACCCCAGGGUUGGUAAAUCUUGUGCCAGCCACCGCGGUCACACAAGAGACCCAAAUUAACCGUAUACGGCGUAAAGCGUGGUAUCAUGUUAUCAUACCAACUAAGACCAAAGCGCAGCUAAGCUGUCAUAAGCCUAAGAUGUGCCUAAGGCCACCCUUAAGAUGAUCUUAGCGCCCUUGAUUAAUUUAACCCCACGAAAGCUAAGACACAAACUGGGAUUAGAUACCCCACUAUGCUUAGCCCUAAAUCUUGAUGCUGUCUGUACUAAAGCAUCCGCCUGAGGACUACGAGCACAAACGCUUAAAACUCUAAGGACUUGGCGGUGCCCCAAACCCACCUAGAGGAGCCUGUUCUAUAAUCGAUAACCCACGUUACACCCGACCGCCUCUUGCCAAAAGCAGCCUACAUACCGCCGUCGCCAGCUCACCUCCCCUGAGAGUUCAACAGUGAGCACAAUAGCUUAAACCCGCUAAUAAGACAGGUCGAGGUAUAGCCUACGGGGCGGAAGAAAUGGGCUACAUUUUCUAAAAUAGAAAACUUUCACGGAAGGGGGGUGUGAAACCACCCCCCUAAGGCGGAUUUAGUAGUAAAGAGGGAUAAUAUAAGCCCUCUUUAAGUCGGCCCUGGGGCACGUACAUACCGCCCGUCACCCUCCUCAUAAGCUUCAACCUCACAAUACCUAAUACAAUUCCCAGCUGAAGAUGAGGUAAGUCGUAACAAGGUAAGUGUACCGGAAGGUGCACUUAGCACAC
rnacentral:rRNA from 1 species